UGAGGAAUAUUGCACAAUGGGCGCAAGCUUGGUGCAGCAACGCCGCGUGAGGGACGAAGGCCUUCGGGUCGUAAACCUCUUUUCUGGGGGACGAGUAAGGACGGUACCCCAGGAAUAAGUCUCGGCUAACUACGUGCCAGCAGCCGCGGUAAAACGUAGGAGGCGAGCGUUAUCCGGAUUUACUGGGCGUAAAGCGUACGCAGGUGGCUUCGUUAGUCGGACAUGAAAGCUCCUGGCUUAACUGGGAGAGGUUGUUCGAUACUGCGGGGCUUGAGGUUGGGAGAGGGACGUGGAAUUCCCGGUGUAGUGGUGGAAUGCGUAGAUAUCGGGAGGAACACCAGUGGCGCAAGCGGCGUCCUGGCCCACACCUGACGCUGAGGUACGAAAGCGUGGGUAGCAAACAG
rnacentral:rRNA from 1 species